GCGCCCGUAGCUCAGCUGGAUAGAGCGCUGCCCUCCGGAGGCAGAGGUAUCAGGUUCGAAUCCUGUCGGGCGUACCA
rnacentral:tRNA from 2 species